GAUGAACGCUGGCGGCGUGCCUAAUACAUGCAAGUCGAGCGAACAGACGAGGAGCUUGCUCCUCUGACGUUAGCGGCGGACGGGUGAGUAACACGUGGAUAACCUACCUAUAAGACUGGGAUAACUUCGGGAAACCGGAGCUAAUACCGGAUAAUAUAUUGAACCGCAUGGUUCAAUAGUGAAAGACGGUUUUGCUGUCACUUAUAGAUGGAUCCGCGCCGCAUUAGCUAGUUGGUAAGGUAACGGCUUACCAAGGCAACGAUGCGUAGCCGACCUGAGAGGGUGAUCGGCCACACUGGAACUGAGACACGGUCCAGACUCCUACGGGAGGCAGCAGUAGGGAAUCUUCCGCAAUGGGCGAAAGCCUGACGGAGCAACGCCGCGUGAGUGAUGAAGGUCUUCGGAUCGUAAAACUCUGUUAUUAGGGAAGAACAAAUGUGUAAGUAACUAUUCACGUCUUGACGGUACCUAAUCAGAAAGCCACGGCUAACUACGUG
rnacentral:rRNA from 1 species